UGUAUAGUAAUACGAGAAGCUUAUAUAUGGUCAUAAUACGGAUGACCGUUUCUACCCAAUACCGUAAAUAUUGGUCUAUAAGUGAAAAAGAGCCUGGG
rnacentral:ncRNA from 1 species